CGCGGCGGCGCGGCUGAGGGGGGCACGUGACUCCGCGGGGCGGAGCUGGCACUACGAUGGCGGGCAGGCGGCUGGGAAAAUGCAGCUCAGCCGCGGGGAGGGUGGUCCUUGCUGUAACUGAGGCCGCUGAGGUAUUUAGACUUUCCAAUGAAUACUUUCCGGGUAUGCCGGCGGCUCGGGGUCCCGGGCAGCUUUCCCACUCGGGCGCUCGGGAUCAGCGCUCGCCCCGACGUCCGAGACCCAAACACGCCGCUCUUCUCUCGUAAGUGGUUCGUGUGGAAGCGCGGAGACACGCCCGCGAGCGGGGCGCGCACGGCAGGGACGCACGCGGCUCCGAGUCCGGCGGCCCCACAACGCGGGCCGGACGCGCUCCCGGCCCAGAGUGGUCCUGGGAGGGGCCGCUCCACGCGCUGUGUUCCCCUCCCCGCCCGGGGCAGAGACCAAGCAGAUUGCCAAUAACCCUGAACCGAACAAAACCUGCUGUGCACGCUGCGAGGACAUGCACUCUUGCACACUGACACCAUCGCCGAGGGAAGCAGCGCCGGGAAGACCAAGCAUCGGCGUAUGCGGCUACCCUCUGACUGACGGGAGAGCCACCUCCAGCCGAGCGCGUGUGGGCACAGGCACAAGAUGCAGAGGCGGCGCACACUCAUCGUGACAGCACUUUUAACAGCAACAGAGGAGCCACAAGCCCACGCCAGGGCUUGGUCAAGUCGGCGGAGCCGCGUGUCUUCAGAGGCCAGGACGAUGUGGGCCCCCACUCCCCGUUCAUCCUGAUGCCACGCGUGCGUCUCCUGCCCCUCCAAACACGCCGCUGCCCACCUGCGUGAGGGGCUCAGGCCCUUGGCACAGCCCUCCCGCCCGCAGAGGCUGCCAGGCUCCACUGGGGUGAGCCAGGCUGCGCCCUCUCAGACAGGCCUGGAUCUGAGCCGCAGCAGAGGGGCCGAUCCUGGAUCCUCUGCAGACUCUGGCUUCCCGGGAGCAGCCCCUCACCUAUGACUCACAGUCCCUCAGUGUCAACUCUCCCGUCCAGGGUGCCGUGCGGUUCUCCCGAGAGGAUGUUCCCAGCAGGCCCGCCUCCACUUGCCCCUUCACAUCCACCCAGCACCUAGGUACUGGCCGCUACCUAAGCUCCAGACCCAACCUGCAGCCCAGGGACAAGGCUGUGGACCUGCUGCAGAACGUCGAGACCUCUGGAGCCCUUCGACCUCUGGGACAGCCCUGCAGCUUGGGGCCAAGGGCAGCGGGGUCAGUCCAAGCAGCUCAGACGACAAAUGCCAAGCCGGGCAGCCCCCAAGGACAAGACGGCCACUAGGACGGGACUGGAGCACCCAAAACAUGAGGUUCACUGACCCUGACUGGAUGCUCAAGUAAACUCCCGACUCUGAGAUCGGAUUUGCGCUUUUUAAGUGAGAGACGGCUACUGUGUGCAUGGUUCACACAGAGGGAGUUAUUGGACCUUCCUUCAAACACUGUCAUUAACGUUAGUGCCGAGGUCCGGUGGACGUCUCUGAGCGCUGCAGCUCUCUGUCCCUGAGCCCUGCGUGGGCACAGCCCGGGCGGUGAAGGGAGGCUCUGCAGCAGCGGGGCGCCCAGCGCCUCUGCAGAAGGCACUGGAGGACAGGGCCCUACAGUCCCCUGAGCAGCCGUGGGUGUGACAUGCAGAGGGAGAGGGGCUCCUCCUGACGCCACCUGCGCGUCUCCACCCGUUCCACCUCCUGAAACACCGAGGAAGCGCAACACACAACCUCCUCGUGGAAGGCCCUCCAGCUCUGACGGUGAGCGACACCCCAGAGAAAUGGGUGAAGUCAGACACAGGACAGGAUAGGCAGCCUCGCCUGCACCAAUCAAACACAAGCAGAACCAACAGAUGGCAUCGGAAGUCACCUUUGAGGUGAGAGGGGGCAAUAGGGGACCUAGAGGCGCUGGGACUGUGCUCCUGGGUCCACAGACGUGCCCGCUUGAUGCAGAUCCCCUGAGCUGUAGACUGAGGGUCCGCAUGCUCCAGCUUACACCUCAACAACAAGGUAAACAAGCACACCCCUAAAACGGCUCAGCCGGCACCAUGACUGUGCUGGAGGCCUCGACCCGCACACGAUGAUCCGGACACCUGCUCACCUGGAUGGCCACGCGGGGGGACUGGGAGAAGUACCAGAGCGGGACACCGAACAGGCUGAUGAGUGCGGUCUUGGUCUCAUACGUCUCAGAGCAGCGGGUACUCAAGAUGCUCCCACCUACAGCAGAGUUGAAAUGUGUCUCAGUAUCUUGUCCUACUGUUUCAGAAACAAUAUCACUACCCACCUGUAGAGAUUUAUCUGAAAUGUUCUAAAAAUUCUCACGUUUCUAACUUAUAUAAAGAAUCUUCUACUUGAAGAUCAGCUCUAUUCUUAAUUUUACUUUUUCCAAAUUCAGUGUCAACAGUUCACAACUACUUUAGGACACACAGUCCCUACCACCCACCAAAGACUCUUAAAAUACUGGGCUCCCCGCCUGCCACUAUAGGGACAGCGACUGAGUGAACUUUUGUUCACGUUUUAAAAUAAAUAAUGAUGAAUUCAACCAGGCACCAGUGUUACCUGUCAGGUUUUCAGAGGACCUACUUAAUAGGCCAAAGUGAUAAAAUAUUAUGACGAUUACCAAUUGCUGGGGUAAAUAGGAAGUUGCUAACAAGGACAGGGUUUCUAUUUGGAAAUAAACAGAAAUGUCCUGGGGCUUCUUUGGUGGCACAGUGGUUAAGAAUCUGCCUGCCAGUGCAGGGAACACGGGUUCACGCCCUGGUCCGGGAAGAUCCCACAUGCCGCGGAGCAACUAAGCCCGAGCGCCACAACUGCUGAGCCUGUGCUCUAGAGCCCGUGAGCCACAGCUACUGAGCCUGUGUGCCACAGCUACUGAAGCCUGCGUGCCUAGAGCCCGUGCUCUGCAACAAGAGAAGCCACCGCAGUGAGAAGCCGGCGCACGACAAAGAGUAGCCCCUGCUUGCCGUAACUAGAGAAAGCCCGCAUGCAGCAACGAAGACUCAAUGCAGCCAAAAAAUAAAUAAAUUAAAAAAAAAAAAAAAGUCCUGGAAUUAGGUAGUGGUGGCUGUUGUACAACAUAAUAAAUAUACUAAAAGCCAUGAAACUGUACACUUGAAAAUGGUGAAGUUUGUUAUGUGAAUUAUACCUCAAUAAUAAUAAUAAAGAGUGUUAAAAAAAAAAAA